UACGUAGGGGGCAAGCGUUUGUCCGGAAUCAUUGGGCGUAAAGGGCGCGUAGGCGGUCCGGUAAGUCCGCUGUGAAAGUCAAGGGCUCAACCCUUGAAUGCCGGUGGAUACUGUCGGGCUAGAGUCCGGAAGAGGCGAGUGGAAUUCCUGGUGUAGCGGUGAAAUGCGCAGAUAUCAGGAGGAACACCGAUGGCGAAGGCAGCUCGCUGGGACGGUACUGACGCUGAGGCGCGAAAGCGUGGGGAGCGAACAGG
rnacentral:rRNA from 1 species